UACGUAGGGUGCAAGCGUUAAUCGGAAUUACUGGGCGUAAAGCGUGCGCAGGCGGUUAUGCAAGACAGAUGUGAAAUCCCCGGGCUCAACCUGGGAACUGCAUUUGUGACUGCAUAGCUAGAGUGCGGCAGAGGGAGAUGGAAUUCCGCGUGUAGCAGUGAAAUGCGUAGAUAUGCGGAGGAACGCCGAUGGCGAAGGCAAUCUCCUGGGCCUGCACUGACGCUCAUGCACGAAAGCGUGGGGAGCAAACAGG
rnacentral:rRNA from 1 species